AACGAACGCUGGCGGCAUGCCUAACUCAUGCAAGUCGAACGAGAUCCUUCGGGGUCUAGUGGCGCACGGGUGCGUAACGCGUGGGAAUCUGCCCUUAGGUUCGGAAUAACAGUUAGAAAUGACUGCUAAUACCGGAUGAUGACGUUAAGUCCAAAGAUUUAUCGCCUGAGGAUGAGCCCGCGUAGGAUUAGCUAGUUGGUGUGGUAAAGGCGCACCAAGGCGACGAUCCUUAGCUGGUCUGAGAGGAUGAUCAGCCACACUGGGACUGAGACACGGCCCAGACUCCUACGGGAGGCAGCAGUGGGGAAUAUUGGACAAUGGGCGCAAGCCUGAUCCAGCAAUGCCGCGUGAGUGAUGAAGGCCUUAGGGUUGGAAAGCUCUUUUACCCGGGAUGAUAAUGACAGUACCGGGAGAAUAAGCCCCGGCUAACUCCGUG
rnacentral:rRNA from 1 species